CCCCUUGUAGCAUAAAAUGGAUAAUGCACCUUUCCGACGAAAAGGGCGAUGCGGGUUCGAAUCCCGCCAAGGGGA
rnacentral:tRNA from 1 species